AUAGCUAGGAAAGUCUCUCGAAUGUCCCUAUAACUUGAGGUACUCAGGUGUGUUGAUUAAUUCAAGUCUUUGGCCUCCUGUCUCUUCUAAUGUCGGAUGAAGACGUAUCUGAGUCAGUGUCCAGUAGAGGUUGUGUGUCCGGUGAUGCGUGUUCGAGGCCCCGUUGUGGUUGUAAGUCCAGUGCUGCCAGUAUUGCGGGAAUGUCUGCUGGGUCCGUAGCUUUGUAGAACUUUCCUUCUUUAGUGAUCCAUAGGGUGUGCGGUGUCGCCCAUCUGUAGGUCAGGCCCGCUUUCUGCAAGAUCUGCGUGAGGGGCUGCAUGGUUUUCCGCCACUGUAGCGUAGCCCUGCUUAGGUCUUGGAAGAACGAGAUUUUACAGUUCUCAAAUUCGUAUGGCGUCUUCCCUUUUAUCGCUGCUAGCAGGCUUAAUUUGUUGGACAUUGUUUGACACCUGAGAAUAAUGUCUCGUGGUGCGGUUGCAGGGGCUCUUG